GUUGAACGCUGGCGGCAUGCCUUACACAUGCAAGUCGAACGGCAGCGGACCUUCGGGUGCCGGCGAGUGGCGAACGGGUGAGUAAUAUAUCGGAACGUACCUUUCAGUGGGGGAUAACGUAGCGAAAGUUACGCUAAUACCGCAUAUUCUGUGAGCAGGAAAGCAGGGGAUCGCAAGACCUUGCGCUGAUUGAGCGGCCGAUAUCAGAUUAGCUAGUUGGUGAGGUAAAGGCUCACCAAGGCGACGAUCUGUAGCGGGUCUGAGAGGAUGAUCCGCCACACUGGAACUGAGACACGGUCCAGACUCCUACGGGAGGCAGCAGUGGGGAAUUUUGGACAAUGGGCGCAAGCCUGAUCCAGCCAUGCCGCGUGAGUGAAGAAGGCCUGGUUGU
rnacentral:rRNA from 1 species